rnacentral:rRNA from 1 species
GACGAACGCUGGCGGCGUGCCUAAUACAUGCAAGUAGAACGCUGAAGGAGGAGCUUGCUCUUCUGGAUGAGUUGCGAACGGGUGAGUAACGCGUAGGUAACCUGCCUGGUAGCGGGGGAUAACUAUUGGAAACGAUAGCUAAUACCGCAUAACAGUAGAUGUUGCAUGACAUUUACUUAAAAGGUGCAAUUGCAUCACUACCAGAUGGACCUGCGUUGUAUUAGCUAGUUGGUGGGGUAACGGCUCACCAAGGCGACGAUACAUAGCCGACCUGAGAGGGGGGUCGGCCACACUGGGACUGAGACACGGCCCAGACUCCUACGGGAGGCAGCAGUAGGGAAUCUUCGGCAAUGGACGGAAGUCUGACCGAGCAACGCCGCGUGAGUGAAGAAGGUUUUCGGAUCGUAAAGCUCUGUUGUAAGAGAAGAACGAGUGUGAGAGUGGAAAGUUCACACUGUGACGGUAUCUUACCAGAAAGGGACGGCUAACUACGUG